GACGACGCUGGCGGCGUGCCUAACACAUGCAAGUCGAGCGGAGUCGAUCGACGGAAGCCUUCGGGCGGAAGAUGGUUGACUUAGCGGCGGAUGGGUGAGUAACGCGUGGGCAACCUGCCUCGAAGACCGGGAUAACAGUCCGAAAGGGCUGCUAAUACCGGAUGUGGUCAAGGAUCCGCAUGGAUUUUUGAUUAAAGGGGAAACCCGUUUCGAGAUGGGCCCGCGUCCUAUCAGCUAGUUGGUGAGGUAAAAGCUCACCAAGGCGACGACGGGUAGCCGGCCUGAGAGGGUGACCGGCCACACUGGAACUGAGACACGGUCCAGACUCCUACGGGGGGCAGCAGUGGGGAAUCUUCCACAAUGGGCGAAAGCCUGAUGGAGCGACGCCGCGUGAGCGAAGAAGGCCUUCGGGUUGUAAAGCUCUGUCUGGAGGGACGAAGGAAGUGACGGUACCUCCGGAGGAAGCCACGGCUAACUACGUG
rnacentral:rRNA from 1 species